UCAGAUUGAACGCUGGCGGCAGGCCUAACACAUGCAAGUCGAGCGGAUGAAGAGAGCUUGCUCUCUGAUUCAGCGGCGGACGGGUGAGUAAUGCCUAGGAAUCUGCCUGGUAGUGGGGGACAACGUUUCGAAAGGAACGCUAAUACCGCAUACGUCCUACGGGAGAAAGCAGGGGACCUUCGGGCCUUGCGCUAUCAGAUGAGCCUAGGUCGGAUUAGCUAGUUGGUGAGGUAAUGGCUCACCAAGGCGACGAUCCGUAACUGGUCUGAGAGGAUGAUCAGUCACACUGGAACUGAGACACGGUCCAGACUCCUACGGGAGGCAGCAGUGGGGAAUAUUGGACAAUGGGCGAAAGCCUGAUCCAGCCAUGCCGCGUGUGUGAAGAAGGUCUUCGGAUUGUAAAGCACUUUAAGUUGGGAGGAAGGGUUGUAGAUUAAUACUCUGCAAUUUUGACGUUACCGACAGAAUAAGCACCGGCUAACUCUGUGCCAGCAGCCGCGGUAAUACAGAGGGUGCAAGCGUUAAUCGGAAUUACUGGGCGUAAAGCGCGCGUAGGUGGUUUGUUAAGUUGGAUGUGAAAGCCCCGGGCUCAACCUGGGAACUGCAUUCAAAACUGACAAGCUAGAGUAUGGUAGAGGGUGGUGGAAUUUCCUGUGUAGCGGUGAAAUGCGUAGAUAUAGGAAGGAACACCAGUGGCGAAGGCGACCACCUGGACUGAUACUGA
rnacentral:rRNA from 1 species